rnacentral:rRNA from 1 species
GACGAACGCUGGCGGCGUGCUUAACACAUGCAAGUCGAGCGGUAAGGCCCUUUCGGGGGUACACGAGCGGCGAACGGGUGAGUAACACGUGGGUGACCUGCCCUCAGCUCUGGGAUAAGCCUGGGAAACCGGGUCUAAUACUGGAUAUGACUCCAUGACGCAUGUUGUGGGGUGGAAAGCCUUGUGCGGCUGAGGAUGGGCCCGCGGCCUAUCAGCUUGUUGGUGGGGUGAUGGCCUACCAAGGCGACGACGGGUAGCCGGCCUGAGAGGGCGACCGGCCACACUGGGACUGAGACACGGCCCAGACUCCUACGGGAGGCAGCAGUGGGGAAUCCUGCGCAAUGGGCGAAAGCCUGACGCAGCGACGCCGCGUGAGGGAUGACGCC